rnacentral:RNase_P_RNA from 1 species
GUGAGCCGGAGAGGUAGCUUCGGCUUGGUAGCAAUACCAAGCUGAGGAAGUUCCGCCCACCAAGGUUAAAGGGGCCGAGAGGUUCCCUUUACCGGCAUCAGAAACGAACUUGCAUGUAGUGUUAACGAUGAUUGAAAAUGAGUCGCUACAUGCAAGAUGAAACGGGCCGGUAAGCCGAUGAGGUGCAAGCGUAAGCGCUUAGACAGAUGCUACCUUAAACAGAAGGCGGGCUACUCCGGCACAC